rnacentral:tRNA from 1 species
GGGGUCAUUAGCAUAUUAGUAAUGCGUCUAUCUGUCACAUAGGAGAAGCGGGUGCAAUUCCCGCCUGACUCCUCCA